UGGGAGCAAGACAGACAAUAGAACUCACUUUCUCAUCCCCAAGUGAUUUUUAUUCUCAGAAACUUAGGCCCACUCAGUUCUUAUUAUACGACGUGUUUUCUGUGGCAGAACAGUAAUGGUGUCUGACCUUUAAUCUCAUUUUAUGAUUGUUUUCUCUUACCACAUCAUUCACGUAACCUUCGAGUUAAAUAGGAGCACUUUCUUAUUCCUCCUGUGUAAAGACAUUAUUUGUACUCCAUGAACAGCUUAGCAUAUUUACAUGGUUAAUUGUUCUGAGUCACCACACCCACCCUGCCUAGAUGCCUCUGGAGGAAUAUAAGGUUAAUUCCAGCAAAUCUAAAUAGACACAGCACAAGAAGCACAUGACCCUGUUAUCCACAGGAUGAGCAAAGAGUUCAGGUGACGAUGCUACCAAAUGACAUAAAGCAAAAAACGUGAAGUCACGAUAACAAGAACUAGACUGUCAGAAUCCAGAAGAAAUUUCUUCAAAUGGAAGGUGGGACAAGCUGCAGGAAACAACCUUAUGCUUCAGCUUUGAGGAGGAAAGGAGAAAUUUGAUGCUUCUUCAGCUUGGAAUGCUUUGGAGGAAGUCAGGACAGACUUCAGAUUGGAUGUCGCUUUUUAAAAAGAUUAUACUUAGCAACAGAUUAACAAUUUUAUUUGAUGAAAGGAACAACAAAUUAUAGGACAUUGCCUCUUUAAUUUUCAUUAAACAACAAUGGAAAAUUUUAA